ACUACAAAGCAACGUUUCAGCCCUAUCAGGGCUUUUUUCAAGCUUCAAAAAAGCCCUGAUAGGGCUGAAAUGUUGCUUUGUAGUCC